rnacentral:rRNA from 1 species
AGAGUUUGAUCAUGGCUCAGAACGAACGCUGGCGGCGCGCCUAAUAUAUGCAAGUCGAGCGAGAAGGUGUAGCAAUACACUUGUAAAGCGGCGAACGGGUGGGGAAUGCAUGGGUAACCUACCCUCGAGUGGGGAAUAACUAGCCGAAAGGUUAGCUAAUACCGCAUACGUUUCCGGGACUUCGGUACCGGAAAGAAAGCAAUACCGUGGGUAUUGCGCUCAUGGAUGGGCUCAUGUCCUAUCAGCUUGUUGGUGAGGUAACGGCUCACCAAGGCUUCGACGGGUAGCUGGUCUGAGAGGACGAUCAGCCACACUGGCACUGCGACACGGGCCAGACUCCUACGGGAGGCAGCAGUAAGGAAUAUUGCGCAAUGGACGAAAGUCUGACGCAGCGACGCCGCGUGGGGGAUGAAGGUCUUCGGAUUGUAAACCCCUUUCGGGAGGGAAGAUGGAGUGGGUAACCACUGGACGGUACCUCCAGAAGCAGC